rnacentral:rRNA from 1 species
AACGCUAGCUACAGGCUUAACACAUGCAAGUCGAGGGGCAGCAUGGUCUUAGCUUGCUAAGGCCGAUGGCGACCGGCGCACGGGUGAGUAACACGUAUCCAACCUGCCGUCUACUCUUGGACAGCCUUCUGAAAGGAAGAUUAAUACAAGAUGGCAUCAUGAGUCCGCAUGUUCACAUGAUUAAAGGUAUUCCGGUAGACGAUGGGGAUGCGUUCCAUUAGAUAGUAGGCGGGGUAACGGCCCACCUAGUCUUCGAUGGAUAGGGGUUCUGAGAGGAAGGUCCCCCACAUUGGAACUGAGACACGGUCCAAACUCCUACGGGAGGCAGCAGUGAGGAAUAUUGGUCAAUGGGCGAGAGCCUGAACCAGCCAAGUAGCGUGAAGGAUGACUGCCCUAUGGGUUGUAAACUUCUUUUAUAAAGGAAUAAAGUCGGGUAUGGAUACCCGUUUGCAUGUACUUUAUGAAUAAGGAUCGGCUAACUCCGUGCCAGCAGCCGCGGUAAUACGGAGGAUCCGAGCGUUAUCCGGAUUUAUUGGGUUUAAAGGGAGCGUAGAUGGAUGUUUAAGUCAGUUGUGAAAGUUUGCGGCUCAACCGUAAAAUUGCAGUUGAUACUGGAUAUCUUGAGUGCAGUUGAGGCAGGCGGAAUUCGUGGUGUAGCGGUGAAAUGCUUAGAUAUCACGAAGAACUCCGAUUGCGAAGGCAGCCUGCUAAGCUGCAACUGACAUUGAGGCUCGAAAGUGUGGGUAUCAAACAGGAUUAGAUACCCUGGUAGUCCACACGGUAAACGAUGAAUACUCGCUGUUUGCGAUAUACUGCAAGCGGCCAAGCGAAAGCGUUAAGUAUUCCACCUGGGGAGUACGUCGGCAACGGUGAAACUCAAAGGAAUUGACGGGGGCCCGCACAAGCGGAGGAACAUGUGGUUUAAUUCGAUGAUACGCGAGGAACCUUACCCGGGCUUAAAUUGCAGAUGAAUUACGGUGAAAGCCGUAAGCCGCAAGGCAUCUGUGAAGGUGCUGCAUGGUUGUCGUCAGCUCGUGCCGUGAGGUGUCGGCUUAAGUGCCAUAACGAGCGCAACCCUUGUUGUCAGUUACUAACAGGUUCCGCUGAGGACUCUGACAAGACUGCCAUCGUAAGAUGUGAGGAAGGUGGGGAUGACGUCAAAUCAGCACGGCCCUUACGUCCGGGGCUACACACGUGUUACAAUGGGGGGUACAGAGGGCCGCUACCACGCGAGUGGAUGCCAAUCCCCAAAACCUCUCUCAGUUCGGACUGGAGUCUGCAACCCGACUCCACGAAGCUGGAUUCGCUAGUAAUCGCGCAUCAGCCACGGCGCGGUGAAUACGUUCCCGGGCCUUGUACACACCGCCCGUCAAGCCAUGGGAGCCGGGGGUACCUGAAGUGCGUAACCGCGAGGAGCGCCCUAGGGUAAAACUGGAG